AGCGGCGGACGGGUGAGUAACACGUAGGCAACCUGCCCCUUGGACUGGGAUAACUACCGGAAACGGUAGCUAAUACCGGAUAAUUCCUCUUAGCUCCUGCUAAGAGGCUGAAAGGCGGAGCAAUCUGUCACCAAGGGAUGGGCCUGCGGCGCAUUAGCUAGUUGGUGGGGUAACGGCUCACCAAGGCGACGAUGCGUAGCCGACCUGAGAGGGUGAACGGCCACACUGGGACUGAGACACGGCCCAGACUCCUACGGGAGGCAGCAGUAGGGAAUCUUCCGCAAUGGGCGAAAGCCUGACGGAGCAACGCCGCGUGAGUGAUGAAGGUUUUCGGAUCGUAAAGCUCUGUUGCCAGGGAAGAACGUCUCUUAGAGUAACUGCUAAAAGAGUGACGGUACCUGAGAAGAAAGCCCCGGCUAACUACGUGCCAGCAGCCGCGGUAAUACGUAGGGGGCAAGCGUUGUCCGGAAUUAUUGGGCGUAAAGCGCGCGCAGCGGCUGUUUAAGUCUGGUGUUUAACCAUGGGGCUCAACCUGUGGUCGCACUGGAAACUGGGCAGCUUGAGUGCAGAAGAGAAAGUGGAAUUCCACGUGUAGCGGUGAAAUGCGUAGAGAUGUGGAGGGAGCACCAGUGGCGAAGCGACUUUCUGGGCUGUAACUGACGCUGAAGCGCGAAGCGUGGGGAGCAAACAGGAUAGAUACCCUCGUAGUUCCCCGCCGGUAACGAUGAGUGCUAGU
rnacentral:rRNA from 1 species